rnacentral:rRNA from 1 species
UACGUAGGGGCUAGCGUUAUCCGGAAUUACUGGGCGUAAAGGGUGCGUAGGCGGUCUUUCAAGCCAGAAGUGAAAGGCUACGGCUCAACCGUAGUAAGCUUUUGGAACUGUAAGACUUGAGUGCAGGAGAGGAGAGUGGAAUUCCUAGUGUAGCGGUGAAAUGCGUAGAUAUUAGGAGGAACACCAGUUGCGAAGGCGGCUCUCUGGACUGUAACUGACACUGAGGCACGAAAGCGUGGGGAGCAAACAGGAUUAGAUACCCGCGUAGUCCCUGA